GAUGAACGCUGGCGGCGUGCCUAAUACAUGCAAGUCGAGCGAACAGACGAGGAUCUUGCUCCUCUGACGUUAGCGGCGGACGGGUGAGUAACACGUGGAGAACCUACCUAUAAGACUGGGAUAACUUCGGGAAACCGGAGCUAAUACCGGAUAAUAUAUUGAACCGCAUGGUUCAAUAGUGAAAGACGGUUUUGCUGUCACUUAUAUAGGUUUCCGCGCCGCAUUAGAUAGUUGGUAAGGUAACGGUUUACCAAGACGACGAUACAUAGCCGACCUGAGAGAGUGAUCGGCGACGCUGGAACUGAGAGACGGUCCAGACUCCUACGGGAGGCAGCAGUAGGGAAUCUUCCGCAAUGGGCGAAAGCCUGACGGAGCAACGCCGCGUGAGUGAUGAAGGUCUUCGGAUCGUAAAACUCUGUUAUUAGGGAAGAACAAAUGUGUAAGUAACUAUGCACGUCUUGACGGUACCUAAUCAGAAAGCCACGGCUAACUACGUG
rnacentral:rRNA from 1 species